rnacentral:tRNA from 1 species
GCCCACAUGGCUCAGGGGUGGAGCGUCGACCUAUGAACCAGGAGGUCAGGGUUCGAUUCCCAGUCAGGGCA